UACGUAGGGUGCAAGCGUUAAUCGGAAUUACUGGGCGUAAAGCGUGCGCAGGCGGUUAUGCAAGACAGAUGUGAAAUCCCCGGGCUCAACCUGGGAACUGCAUUUGUGACUGCUCUGCUAGGGUGCGGAAGAGGGAAGCGGAAUUUCCGGUGUAGCGGUGAAAUGCGUAGAUAUCGGAAGGAACACCAGUGGCGAAAGCGGCUUCCUGGUCCAGCACCGACGUUCAGGCACGAAAGCGUGGGGAGCAAACAGG
rnacentral:rRNA from 1 species